rnacentral:rRNA from 1 species
GAUGAACGCUGGCGGCGUGCCUAAUACAUGCAAGUCGAGCGAACAGAUGAGGAGCUUGCUCCUCUGACGUUAGCGGCGGACGGGUGAGUAACACGUGGAUAACCUACCUAUAAGACUGGGAUAACUUCGGGAAACCGGAGCUAAUACCGGAUAAUAUAUUGAACCGCAUGGUUCAAUAGUGAAAGACGGUUUUGCUGUCACUUAAAGAUGGAUCCGCGCCGCAUUAGCUAGUUGGUAAGGUAACGGCUUACCAAGGCAACGAUGCGUAGCCGACCUGAGAGGGUGAUCGGCCACACUGGAACUGAGACACGGUCCAGACUCCUACGGGAGGCAGCAGUAGGGAAUCUUCCGCAAUGGGCGAAAGCUUGACGGAGCAACGCCGCGUGAGUGAUGAAGGUCUUCGGAUCGUAAAACUCUGUUAUUAGGGAAGAACAAAUGUGUAAGUAACUAUGCACGUCUUGACGGUACCUAAUCAGAAAGCCACGGCUAACUACGUG